ensembl:lncRNA
CUGCAGAAGGACCUGGCUUUAAUGUCUGUCAUUCUUGUAUGAUCUUUCAUUAAAGUCGAUUGGAUUCACAAGUUUCUGAGUUGAAGUGCUCUUUGUUUUAUUCGUUGUGGACUUGGGUUUUCCACGACAUAAUUGGCGAGCCAGCCAGGAGUUGGACAGAGACAGAGGUGCUUGACUGAACUGCCUGGGAGGAAUUGGACUGAGUUACACAAACGGUGGCCACAACAAAGGAAAAGGCGCGGGUCCCGGAGCCCGAGGACGAUCAGCCCAGGGCGGUGGUUCCAGGAAACCAGGUCUACAUCAAGGUCUACAGGAGGAGGUGGAACGAGCCAAGGAGAGAAGGCCCAUACAGAGUGACCCAGGCCACGACGACGGCAGUACGCGUAGAGGGCAGCGACACCUGGUAUCACCUCAACCACUGCACCAAGGUUCCACAAGGAGUGGGACAACAUGAGGAGGAUGAGAAUGCUGAUCUUCCAGGCGGGAGUGAAAGCCAAGAGGGGGAAGGCGUGGCACCCUCAGCACCAGAGGAACUGGUACCUCAGCCGGAGAAGUCUGAGCCCAGCAGAGAGGAACCAGACGUGGGAGUGGAGAAUGCUCAUGCUCAGUCUGCUGUUGACAGCUCUGGGGCUAUGGUCUGUGUUACAGAUUCCAGGGGAGAAUGUACAAACAACAACGGAGCAGAUCCUGCAAUUGGUGCCACCACAGAAGAGACCUAAGGGGGGCCACGCCCGCCCAACACCAGUAGGAGACAACAUCUUACCGCUGGUCUCACCGACUUUGACUAACAAUAUUUCAUUUAUUUCUGACUCUAGUAGCCCCGACACAGACCUUGAAGCUAAAACGAUUGAGACAGGAAGUUAAAGAUAAUGCAGGUAGAGACGCUCAUGCUUGGGAUUGGUUAGAACAUUCUUUCGGCAGAUGGGGAGCUAUCCUCACUAAAGCAGGAAUAGUUAUGGUGAUAGUCUUGGUUUUACUCGCAUUAGGCUCAUGCUGUGUCAUCCCUCUCCUCAAAAUAUACCUGACCCGGACUGUGAACACUCAAAUGCUGCUGCAGGGAACUCACGACUCAGAUUCAGACUCAAACAGUCCAUUGGUCAACCCUCGUGCUGGACAUCCUGGACAGUAUGUUAACGUAAAUGGAGCACCUUGUGACAUGAGCGGUGAACCAUUGUACGAGCAGCCAACUGACCCCGUCGCAAGGCGGCACUGUCCUUCUUCUUCUCUUGCAGGCAUGAAGGGACUGCCAAACCUGAAUAUUCCUGUGGUGGAGGCCUUCGUGAACCAGUUGUAUGAAGAAAUGGGAGAGGUCUAUGUUGACGUGGAUAAAGGGAACAGGAGCAACUCUUCUGAUCCACCGGAGAGCCAUGCCCUCUAUGACAAGACAUCACGCAGACACUAUCCAUGCCCAUAUAGAAUGGACAGUUGCCAGUACUGCAGCAAAGAAUGCCCUGCUAAGGAAGGACACUAUCAUCAUCCUGAGCCCUACAACUGUGCUCUUUGCCAAAGAGGGGACUGUCCCCUGUGUGCCGGAAAGGACUGUGUACCGUUGAAUAUUGAUCUUUUAAUGGGAUUGACCCCUAAUAAGGUUGAUGUUGGGACCGCGGACUAAAGAGUAUUAAGGGAGACGCAAACCUUUGUAUAUUUUCCAUCUGUUUGUAUUUCUCCUGUAAAUUUUUAUUUGUAUGAUACUGUCUGAAAGUCUGUUCUCUGUUAUCAUCUCAGGUCAUUCUACCUCAUGUGAUACGGAAUAUUUGAUCUAUCUUGUUUUAACAAUUAUUCAUAUAUAAUCCUAGGCUAGUUCAUAUAUUUUCUUUGCUUAUCUUUAUACUCAAUUGAAACACCACAUUUUGCUAAGGCUAACAAAGAAACCUGCACACGCUUACACACACCCAUAUCCCAUAGAUUGGAAAGGUUGGUGAGUCUUUUACUUCCACUCAGUCAAACGGAGGGGAAGAGGUUUGGCUCCCAGCUUCUGGGGCCGACAGGCGACAAGGAGUUAGGUGAUAAAAUGUUUGAGUUGAUUUCAACUCCCACAUGGAUACUGAGAUACUCCUCCUCAUCUGACGGUCUUAGGCCCAAAUUUAAGUGGCUUUAUGAAGCCACUAAGGGGGGAUAUGUGAGAGAAUUUCUAUCUACUUACUUAUAAUCCCACGAAUUAUGAAUAUAUCAUUAUGCAUGUUUAAGUUUAAGUUUAUGAAUAUAUCAUUAUACAUGUUUAAGUUCAAGCUUCUAAUACACUGCUGCCUAAGAAAGGUUACCAAUGUAAAG